rnacentral:rRNA from 1 species
CCCUUAGAUGUCCUGGGCCGCACGCGCGCUACACUGACAUGUUCAACAAGUUUCUCCUAGUUCGACAGGACUGGGAAAUCUUUGAACGCAUGUCGUGAUAGGGAUAGAUCAUUGCAAUUAUUGAUCUUCAACGAGGAAUUCCUAGUAAGCGCGAGUCAUCAGCUCGUGCUGAUUACGUCCCUGCCCUUUGUACACACCGCCCGUCGCUCCUACCGAUCGAAGAGUUAGGUGAAUUGUUUUGAUCGAUAAGAUUUGACUAUGGUCAACUCUCGUUGUGAAAUUCUGUGAAUCUGACUGUUUAGAGGAAGGAAAAGUCGUAACA